rnacentral:rRNA from 1 species
GACGAACGCUGGCGGCGUGCUUAACACAUGCAAGUCGAACGGAAAGGCCCUGCUUUUGUAGGGUGCUCGAGUGGCGAACGGGUGAGUAACACGUGAGUAACCUGCCCUUGACUUUGGGAUAACUUCAGGAAACUGGGGCUAAUACCGGAUAGGAGCUCCUGCUGCAUGGUGGGGGUUGGAAAGUUUCGGCGGUUGGGGAUGGACUCGCGGCUUAUCAGCUUGUUGGUGGGGUAGUGGCUUACCAAGGCUUUGACGGGAAGCCGGCCUGAGAGGGUGACCGGCCACAUUGGGACUGAGAUACGGCCCAGACUCCUACGGGAGGCAGCAGUGGGGAAUAUUGCACAAUGGGCGGAAGCCUGAUGCAGCAACGCCGCGUGCGGGAUGACGGCCUUCGGGUUGUAAACCGCUUUCGCCUGUGACGAAGCGUGAGUGACGGUAAUGGGUAAAGAAGCACCGGCUAACUACGUG